rnacentral:rRNA from 1 species
UACGUAGGUGGCAAGCGUUGUCCGGAAUUAUUGGGCGUAAAGCGCGCGCAGGCGGCCUUUUAAGUCUGAUGUGAAAUCUUGCGGCUCAACCGCAAGCGGCCAUUGGAAACUGGGAGGCUUGAGUACAGAAGAGGAGAGUGGAAUUCCACGUGUAGCGGUGAAAUGCGUAGAUAUGUGGAGGAACACCAGCGGCGAAGGCGACUCUCUGGUCUGUAACUGACGCUGAGGCGCGAAAGCGUGGGGAGCAAACAGG